CACAGACACCAGAGCUUUCACGAGCUCGUCUUAGACACAGAGAUGCCUCCUCAUCUCCUAGGUCCCCAGAGGCGUGGCCAGAACCCCCUCCCUCCCUUCCUAUGGCAGGGUCCCUGAACGGAGUGUCCCGAAGUGGGUGAAUGAUUUUGGGAAAUCUAACCUGGGACUCGUCUAUCUUGGUGGCGGAGUCUGACUGCCGGCCUGUUCCAUAGCCUGGAGGGGACUCAGCAGCAGGAGACAGGCUCUGGAGGAGCAGGGUCCAAGGCCAGGGCUAACUGUUGAUGUGAUUCAGAGGAGACUGCAAGACCGAGGGUCUGGGUCACCCGUGCUGGGCCCAGGAUCACUUGCAGCAGCCCCACCCCACCCAGUGCCUUCUACGCUGAGGCUGACUUUUGCCUCUCCUUCCCAAAGGCAAAUUUCCUGGGAUAUAGGCGGUCCCACCCACUUCCAUCUUGGGGUUGCCCAGCACGUAGAGAAGGGGCCAGCUGCUUCCAUGGGUGGGCCUUCAUGCUGGGAAGCUGGGCUUCCGUGGACCCUGGAGGCCAGGCUGGGCUGGGCAGAGGUUUGUUGGGAAAGCCUGGAACACUCGGAAUCCUUUCAGCUCCCAUGCUCAGCCUUGACCUCUAGGGAUCAAAAACUCAGAGCAGAACCUCCGCCAGCCUCUGCUUGGCCCUGAGGAGACCUGAGGUCCGUAUGAGAAAGCAGGCAGCUGCCACCGUGGGGCUGUGAACCAGAGCCACAAACAGGUUCUAUAGCAGGCAGUCCCGGAGAGGAAUCCAGUGGCCAUACUCUGUCCCUGCUUCUCCGCCUUGGGACACCAACAGAGACAAGAUGGGAGCCUAGAGGUACCAGGGCAUCAUGUGGGGCUUGGCCUCUACGCAGGGACCGCAUCUGGUAUCCUUGCGAUAAUAAUUACAAUCACAGCUCGCAUUUAUUGGGCAGGUCCCUAUGCCACUAGAGCACCGAGGUCAUUUUAAGUAUUAAUUCACUUAAUCUUCACAACAACCUGACGAAAUGGGAACUAUCAUUAUCCCCAUUUUUUACCGGAGGAGACUGAGAGCCUCAGUGUGUUAAGUAACUGGCCCAAAGUCACAGAGCCUGUGCCACCCUGCCCACCAUGAGCGUGUGGUUUCUGGGCCGUACCUGGCUCUGCUCUCCAGCAGAGCCAUGACCUUGAGCCAGUCCAUGUGCCUCUCUGAGCCUAUCUACCUCACCUAUAAAAUGGAGCUGAGAGUCGUCCCUGACCUCAUCAGGGGCUCUUGGGUCUGGCAAGAUGGGGAAUAUGAAAGCAGUUGGUAAACGCCAAGGCACUGGACAAGUAUCAUGGUCAGUGCAACCCCAACCUAGAUCCAGUGUUUUCCAGGUGGGGAGCCCUGCAUGGAGCAGGCAGAGAAGCCACUCCCAUCAACUGGGAGCUGUCCCAGGGUCACUGCUUCACCUUGCCCCACAGCAGCUUGAGGUCAGGAGAUGGAUGCAGCUUGAUUCACUGCCCCUCGCUCAGAGCAAGGAGGUAAGGACAUGGCUCCUCAGGGGCCUCCCUCCCUGCUGUGCAUUUUCAUUAAGGCAGAUUCACAGCCCACCUGGCAGGAGGGGUCUCUGCUCCUCACAUGGGGGCCUGGCAGCACCUACUGCCCCUGGCCUAAGGGGCCAGGGGAACUGCUGUCCAGCCUCAGCAGUGGGGGAACCAGAGGUUGUGUGGGCCAGUCUGGAGUAGAUGCUGGGGAGCUCUCCGGAUAAGAUGGGCCAGGUCUGGGAUGCCUGCUCUGCAGAGCUGGGAUCUUUUCUCAGGCCUGGGCUGAGGUCAGAGCCCUAAAGAUCUAGCUAGGGUGCAGCCUUCAGGGUAGAAAUCCAGGAGUGGGGUGGGCUGUGGCUGGCUCUUCUAGGUCCAGGCCUGAGAACCGGGGGUCUGAGCUCCUUUGUCAGUCCCAGGAAUCUCUCAGGCAGUGGGACUGAUGAGUGAUGGGCUUGGAGAAUGAAUGCCAGGCACCCCCAGGGCCAGCUGGGUUCUGGCCUAUCUGACAGUGAGGAGGGGGCAGUCCUGAGUGGCCCCCCCGCAGCCCCAGGUAGGAGCACACCUAGCUCUGAAGCAGGACUUCCAUUUCUACCUCCAGCACUUGUUUGUGCUCUCCUAUGGCAAGAUUGGUUUUAGACUUACAGUCUCUCAUCUUUACAAUAGUCAGGGGAAAGAAACCUACAGAGUAAUACCCAUUUCCCCCAGGAAGAAACUGAGGCCCCGAGCCCGGGACAUCUGAGAGGGAGCCCCGGGUAAGGCCUUGUCCCUUCCUGGGAGCCUCCUCCCCACCCCGACACUGGCUCUCUAUGUGAUGGCCUGUGGUCACGACUAAUGUCCAUUAGUUAGCCAGACCUGUUCCCUGGACCACCAGCUGGCUACUUGCCCCCAAUGGGGCAGAGAUGCAAGGGGGUCCUGGAAGAUGGCGAAGUGGGUAUGUAUUCUGGAAGGCCCCUCAAAUUACCUGACUUCAUAACUGGGCCACACCCAGUCUGGGCCUCACUGACAGUAGGGUGGAAUCUCCACAACAUCCUUAUGACUUCAAAGGCAGAACGUAGCCCCCUAGGGAGAGAAGGGUGACAGAGCUGUUGAGCCACAGAAUACAUGGUUACUGAGUAGUGAGCUCCCUGUCCUUGAGCAGACGCCGCCAUCCCUGAGACCUACUCCUCGACCUCCUUGCUCCUCCAGGUACGAUCCCUCCCUGCUCAUCCCCACCUCCCAACCUUUGCCAGUUUCUAGGUUCCUUACCCAGAAUGUCCUCUCAGAUCUCCCUGUUUCCAAGAGAUCUUAUUUCACGGACCACCUACUGUGUGCUCAGACUUGUGCUGACCAGAGCUGUGCAGGUGGUGGAAGAAGACAGGCGCUCGUAACACAGGGCAGAAUCAUAAUCAUAUCUCGCUUUCACUGAGUACCUUACUAUGCACUGGAUGUUACUCUAAGCAUGUGCCUUAGCUCACUUGUUUCUCGCGGCGAAUAUGAGCUAAGCACUUUCACUUACGCCUGCUUUCCAGAUGAGGGACCUGAGGCUCUGAGAGGUUAAAAAAUUUGCCUAGGGGCAAAGGAUGGGUUGUGGCACCAGGAUUCAACCCCAAUGUCAAUGACUUGGCACUCACACAUCUGCUACAGUCAAAACCUGUGGUGUAGGAGUUCCCGUCGUGGCUCAGUGGUUAACGAAUCUGACUAGGAACCAUGAGGUUUCGGGUUGGAUCCCUGGCCUCAAUUGGUGGGUUAAGGAUCUGGCGUUGCCAUGAGCUGUGGUGUUGGCCCCAGAUGUGACUCUGAUCCUGCAUUGCUGUGGCUGUGGUGUAGGCCAAUGGCUACAGCUCCGAUUAGACCCCUAGCCUGGUAACCUUCAUAUGCCACGAGAGUGGCCCUAGAAAAAGAAAGAAAGAAAAAAAAAAAAAGAAAAAAACCCAAAACCUGUGGUGUAAGCAGCGCUCUGGUUUCAGGCAAUGAGGGAGGGGGCUGGGGCUGUGAGAGCCAGGUGGGCCUGUGGGUCAGUGGGGGUGUUGGGAGCAGGAAACCUGUGAAUGUCAUUCAGUCUUGGGAGAGCUUGGCUACUGUUAACCUGAAUGUCACAGCCCUUGACACAGAGCCUGGCACCAAAUGGAUUAUUGGUUCAAUAAAUGUUUGUUG
rnacentral:lncRNA from 1 species